rnacentral:rRNA from 1 species
UUGGAGGGCAAGUCUGGUGCCAGCAGCCGCGGUAAUUCCAGCUCCAAUAGCGUAUAUUAAAGUUGUUGUGGUUAAAAAGCUCGUAGUUGAACCUUGGGCCUGGCCGUCCGGUCCGCCUCACCGCGUGUACUGGCUCGGCCGGGCCUUUCCCUCUGUGGAACCCCAUGCCCUUCACUGGGUGUGGCGGGGAAACAGGACUUUUACUGUGAAAAAAUUAGAGUGCUCCAGGCAGGCCUAUGCUCGAAUACAUUAGCAUGGAAUAAUAGAAUAGGACGUGUGGUUCUAUUUUGUUGGUUUCUAGGACCGCCGUAAUGAUUAAUAGGGACAGUCGGGGGCAUCAGUAUUCAAUUGUCAGAGGUGAAAUUCUUGGAUUUAUUGAAGACUAACUACUGCGAAAGCAUUUGCCAAGGAUGUUUUCAUUAAUCAGGAACGAAAGUUAGGGGAUCGAAGACGAUCAGAUACCGUCGUAGUCUUAACCAUAAACUAUGCCGACUAGGGAUCGGACGGUGUUAUUUUUUGACCCGUUCGGCGCCUUACGGGAAAC